UAGUGGGGGAUAACGUUCCGAAACUUACGCUAAUACCGCAUACGAUCUACGGAUGAAAGUGGGGGAUCUUCGGACCCUGGCUCGUCGGAUCAGCCUAUGUCUGAUUAGCUAGUUGGUGAGGUAAUGGCCUCACCAAGGCAUCGAUCACUAACUGGUCUGAGAGGAUGAUCAGUCACACUGGAACUGAGACACGGUCCAGACUCCUACGGGAGGCAGCAGUGGGGAAUUUUGGACAAUGGGCGAAAGCCUGAUCCAGCCAUGCCGCGUGAGUGAAGAAGGCCUUCGGGUUGUAAAGCUCUUUUGUCUUGGAAGAAACGGUGUAAACCUAAUAUCUUUUGGUUUGACGGUUCCUGAAGAAUAAGCACCGGCUAACUACUUGCCAGCAGCCGCGGUAAUACGUAGGGUGCAAGCGUUAAUCGGAAUACUGGGCGUAAGCGUGCGUAGGUGGUUUGUAAGUCUGAUGUGAAAUCCCCGGGCUCAACCUGGGAAUUGCAUUGGAGACUGCAAGGCUAGAAUCUGGCAGAGGGGGGUAGAAUUCCACGUGUAGCAGUGAAAUGCGUAGAUAUGUGGAGGAACACCGAUGGCGAAAGCAGCCCCCUGGGUCAAGAUUGACGCUCAUGCACGAAAGCGUGGGGAGCAACAGGAUUGAUACCCUGGUAGUCACGCCCUAACGAUGUCACUACUGUCGGUCUUAUUGACUUGUUACGCAC
rnacentral:rRNA from 1 species